rnacentral:tRNA from 1 species
GGGCGUUUGGCACAGUGGUAGCGCGCAUGCUUUGCAUAAAGCAUACCUUGCAUGAGGUCGAGGGUUCAAUCCCCCCAACGUCCA